UUUAAUCCAUUUAUUUUGAUUAAUUCAUAUUGAAUUCAUUUUUAAUCCAAAAAAUAUGAGACUUUCACCAAAAAUCUUUAAAUAUUUUCCUCUUCCAUAUUUUGAAUUAAAAUCAUUUUUUGGAUUAAUUUUGGUUUUUUUUGUGAAUUACUUGAUUUUAGACUUAUUUUUAAAUAUUUUAAAAUACAACUGUCUUUCCAAAAAUUAUGAUUUUUUUGUCUAAGGUCCUUUGACGUUG
rnacentral:lncRNA from 1 species